AGCAUGGUACAUCCUCAACAUCUCAUCUCUCCUCUGAGCCUGGUCAGCUGACUCCUCCAUCAGACUGCCCUGGUCCCCACAGGAAUACAGGACCAUGUGCUGAAACAGACCAACCACGGGCCGGCCGGCAGGCUACGAGGACACUCUCAGGCAGCAUGAAAACGACUACAUCGACCAUGAUCCUUUACUAGUUAUGGCCACUUUCACCAUGAUCCUUAGCGAUUAUUUUGGUGGCAUUCAGCCCCACCCAGCAAUAUGGAGCGCUUCACAUUAAAAUACUGGCGGCUUCAUGCACCAUCAGAAGUUCCAGGAAUACGUGGAUCCCCAUCUACUGUGUGUGUGUGUGUGUGUG